UAGCUCUUGCCGCGCCGCUCACAACGUCUCCCUCGGUGUACCACCCAUCCAUCGAAAUCUCCGCCGUCUAGCAUCGUUGUCGCUCUACUGCCGCACCUGGCCGCCGGAUUCCCGCCGCCUCCGCGUCCACCUCAGCCUUCGGGGCACCGCUUCAGUCAUCACCACAGGCGGCAUCCCUCACCCUGUUUCAGACUUCUCCACUCCGUCGCGCCCAGGCCGUCUCCGCCCGCGCCAACCUCCGCGUCUCUACCACCACCGCCUUAGCGGCGCGGCCAGUAGGCAGCGCCUGUCUACGCCUCGACUACUCCGCCCGUCGAGGGGCUGCCCGACCGCCGACGCAGUCCAAGCUCUUGAUUGAUUGCACGAGACUGGCUAAGACUUGAUCGGAGGUUGGUGACUUGGUCUGUUAAAUUAAUCUCUUUGUGUGUGUGUGUGUGAAAUCGUUGUUGAAUGUUGAUAGUGAAUUUGG
rnacentral:lncRNA from 1 species